CCUUUUAGGUUCGAAGUUUGUUCUAACAUUUGCCACACAUGAGAUCCUGAUCGUCUUUCUCCUAGUGUUGUUGCUUGCAGGGGGAAGGAAAGUGGGGUUUCCAAUCAGGGUCGAAGAUGGUCAAACUUUAGGUCUAGGCAGGUUGACAGGUUUUGCCAACGAUUUCAAAAGAUUGAAUCUUUUUUGCUCAACCAAAGUUAAGGAGUUCUAGAGCACGAGGGAAUGGGCUCUCAUUCUCGAGAUCGUCUCGUCUAUGUACUCGCUCCCCCAAUUGCUUGAAGAUGCACGUGCGGUAUGAUAAAGAGCCCCAAGGUUGGAACUAAUGAAAAGCCAGGGUAGAGCCUCAGAGUCGGCCCAACCGGAGAUCGACACAGCCCACCAAAAGGAAAGUCAUAGAGACGGUAGAUUGGGAGGUUACAAUUUUAGUUUUCCUAUUUAAAUUUUCGAUAGUGUCUGUAGGAAGCGUAGAUGGUGGAUUAGGUGAGAACAUUCAACCAAAGGCGUAUUGGAGAUCGACAAUAGCUAAGCAUUGCGGCCAUCACAGUUCAAGUUACGUAUGGCUAGUGCACAACCUAUGGGCUUCUUAGGUAAAACAAAAACAACAAAAAAAGGAUGCCUGGUUUGGUACCUUUAGUCCAAUCUUAGACAAAGAGAAAGGAGGAUACGAAGCACAGCUAGGUAGACCAUGGUCCAAACCAGGGUGGUUCAUGACUAGGCUAAAAAAAUAGUCUAAAGCAGGGAAACGUCGGAUGGAAGGUGGAAAAGGCUUGGCUUUGUUUCAUAGAACUAAGGAAAUUUCGUUUCCAUAAUGGUGAUGCUAAUAUAUAUAUGCAAGAUCAAAGACGCGAUUUGCGCGGGUCCACAUUUUUUUUAAGAUAGUAAUGAGGCGAUUUGUUCGCUGGGUGAUUCCGCUAGCCAAAUCGUACUAAUGCAAUUCAUUCUCUCUACUAUCCUACAGAGCAAUUCAAACAUUUAGUAAGAGCUAGGGUGACUCAUUCUAUUCUCUUUGAGGCAGGUAAGUAAAGCGUCUAGCUUAGGGGGCACGUCAAAUUGCUAAAAGGCCUUGGUGAUUCUCUAAUUUGUAAUUUGAAAAUAGAAAACCAAAAUGAUUCCAAACUUUACUUCAAUCAAUAGUCUCGUAUCCAUGCUGCUCCGACUCCAAACUCGAUGUAAGCGAGACAUUCCCAAACUCUUUAUCAAACUCCUUUCUCGUUCCCUUGUACAAACUUGACCAGGCAGUUUUCAUUAUGUGUUCUUUGCAGUGUCUAGGAAGGUUAGGAGUGAAUUAAGCCAAUGUGUAUAAAUAGAUAGACUAGGUUCAUCCUUUUUUAUUAUGUUAAGGUCAAUGCAAGUCUGUCUAUGAUUAAGAGUCUAUGUGUUGUUGAAGCUGGCUUAUUCAUGCUAGUAAUCUUAGAGCUAUGAGUCAAAACAAUGUUCACCAACUCUUCCAUAAUAAUCUUGUUCAUAUUCAUAUAUCAAAAAAGCUUUUAAAAUAUGAGUUAAAAUAGUUAUAUUAAAGUGUAUUGUCUCUUCCCAAGGUAGCAUUGCUGAGCGGGCGAUCACUAUCUUGUUUAUCCAGUUAGCUUUUCUCCAUGGUACUCAAAUUCUAUUUGUUUAUCCAGUUCCCAAGGUAGCAUGCCCUACUUUCCUUGUUCUUACCAUCGAUGCUACUCCUUUCUCCAAAAAGAAAAGAUAGAAAAUAAUUCUUCUGUCCAAAGCCUUGUAACUUCAAGAGGAGCGGUGCCUCCUCACAAAGGGAGUCGUAGUGACCAUGCCCGGGUGACUGUUUACCAGAAACAUAGGUCUUCGUAAAGUUGUAAGACCAUGUAUAGGGGCUGACGCCUACCCAAUGCUAGAAGGUCAAGGAAGUUGGUGACCUGAUGACAGGAGAGUCGACGAUCGAAGCCCGACGAACAACAAUUGUAACUAUAACGGUCCUCAGGUAGCGAAAUUCCUUGUUGGGUAAGUUUUGGCCCGCACGAAAGGUGUAACGAUCUGGGCACUGUCUCAGAGAGAGGCUCGGUGAAAUAGGCAUGUCUACGAAGAUGCAAACUACCCGCACUUAGACACAAAGGCCCUAUGAAGCUUCACUGUUCCCUGGGAUUGGCUUUGGGCUUUUAUUGUGCAACUUAGGUGGAAGGCAAAGAAGGCCUCCUUCUGAGGGGCUCGAGCCAUCAGUGAGAUACCACUUUGGAAGAGCUAGAAUUCUAACCUUGUGUCAGGACCUACAAGCCAAGGGACAGUCUCAAGUAGAUAGUUUCUAUGGGGCGUAGGCCUCCCAAAAGAUAACGGAGGUGUGCAAAGGUUCCCUUAGGCCGAACGAAGAUUGGCCCUCGAAUGUAAAGGCGGAAGGGAGCUUGACUGCAAGACCAACCCAUCGAGCAGGGACAAAUGUCAGCCUUAGUGAUCCGACGGUACCAAGUGGAAGGGUCAUCGCUCAACAGAUAAAAGUUACUUUAGGGAUAACAAACUGAUCUUAGCUAAGAUCUCACAUCGACGGGAAGGUUUGGCACCUCGAUGUCGGCUCUUCACCACCUAGGGCUGUAGUAUGUUCCAAGGGUUAGGCUAUUCUCCUAUUAAAGCGGUACGUGAGCUGGGUUUAGAACGUCGUGAGAUAGUUCGAUCGAUAUCCGAUGUGGGCGUUAGAGCAUGGAGAGGACCUUUCCCUAGUACGAGAGGAUUAAGAAGGACGCACCUCUAGUGUACCAGUUAUCAUGCCCAUAGUAAACGUUGGGUAGCCAAAUGCAAAGUGAAUAAUUGCUAAAAGCAUCUAAGUAGUAAGCCCACCCUAAGAUGAGUGCUCUCCUAUUCCGAUUCCCUAAAGCCUCCGGUAGCAUAGCUGACAUAGUAAAGGGUUCUCUAUACAAUACGUAGGUGUUCGUGUCAAGGGUAACCCCAUUUGAGACAAACUAGGCCUAGAACUGAUUUAUAUCAUACCUAGCACCUAGGGUAACUUUAUUCAUAUAGACUAAGGGUUGGGAAGAGAGAUUUUUGAUCUCCCUUU
rnacentral:rRNA from 1 species